UUAAUGAAAUCACAGUUGGAGUUAUUUCUGUUUCCUUCUUUUUCCUCUUAGACACUUUGUGAAUUUCCCAGAAAGGGCAAUCAUCACUUAAAAAAACAAAACAAAACAAAAAACAGAAAAAAACCAACCAAUUUCUUAACAUUGGCUGAAUCUUUUGUUGGCCUUUCUUUCUCAGUCCUCAGGUGGGAAUCUGGGCCACCCUCUCACCUCCCCAGGCCCCACCCAGGACAGCUCUGCCCUCAGAAUGUAGGACUUCGGGGUAAGAAUGUCACCAGCAAGAGGAAGGGGCUGGGUGACCCAGGGUGGGCUUCUCUCUGAGACCCGGGCUUGCAGCUCAGAGCUCAGGCUCCCAGCGCGCUGUUUUCCUUCCAGAGCUGUUUUGAUGGUCCCUGAAGCUACGCCUCCUGCCUUUGAAUGCUUUGUUUGAAAAGCACAUGAGCAUUUGCAAGCGUUUAAAUUGAUUCCUUGUGGCUUUAAUUUCUUGUCUAGUGUGUGACUUGACUGGUUUCCAAAAGCUCGGCUUUUAUUUUUUAACAAACCAUGAAUGGGAGGAGCAGAAACCAGCGCGCAGGGUUGCAGAUGACAGGACGCCGAAGCUCUAAGCACCACAAGGCAGCGAGCUUGCGGAGAACCUUCUUCCAGCUGGCAGUGCCCAGGGCCUGGGUUUUGGACCCAGAGAAUCACUGUCAGGAAGCCCUACCUCAUUCAAAUGCACAGAACUGCAAAGAUCCCCCGGCAACCUAACGGCUAAUUGCAUCAUGUUACAACGUGUAAUAGCCAUGGGCUAUAAUAACCAAUUGUGGAGCAGCCCUAACACACUGGAGUGAAUGCUACACUCCUCCGAGCUACAAUUCCAACCUGUAAUAACCAGAGACCUUCACAAGAGCCUGUUCUUUGUGCCAGGCUAUCCUCUAAAGCACUUCAUAGUGCUUUAGAAACAAAUACCCUGGGCAGGGGAGUUGCCUGAUGGUCUGGUGGUUAAGACUCGGUGCUUUUACUGCUGCAGCCCGGGUUCAAUCCGUGGCCUGGGCACUGAGAUCCCACAUCAAGUCGCAGCAGGCCAUGGCCAAGAAAAAC